rnacentral:rRNA from 1 species
UACAGAGGGCGCAAGCGUUGUUCGGAUUUACUGGGCGUAAAGCGCGUGUAGGCGGCUUCGCAAGUUGGAUGUGAAAUCCCACGGCUCAACCGUGGACGUGCAUCCAAAACUGCGUCGCUAGAGUAUCGGAGAGGAAGGUGGAAUGCUUGGUGUAGAGGUGAAAUUCGUAGAUAUCGAGCAGAACACCUGCGGCGAAGGCGGCCUUCUGGACGAUGACUGACGCUGAGGCACGAAGGCCAGGGGAGCAAACGGG